rnacentral:rRNA from 1 species
AGUUUGAUCCUGGCUCAGAUUGAACGCUGGCGGUAUGCCUUACACAUGCAAGUCGAACGGUAGAGGAGCAAUCCUCGAGAGUGGCGAACGGGUGAGUAAUACAUCGGAACGUGCCCAGUCGUGGGGGAUAACGUAGCGAAAGCUACGCUAAUACCGCAUACGACCCGAGGGUGAAAGCGGGGGACUCGCAAGAGCCUCGCGCGAUUGGAGCGGCCGAUGGCAGAUUAGGUAGUUGGUGGGGUAAAGGCCCACCAAGCCUGCGAUCUGUAGCUGGUCUGAGAGGACGACCAGCCACACUGGGACUGAGACACGGCCCAGACUCCUACGGGAGGCAGCAGUGGGGAAUUUUGGACAAUGGGCGAAAGCCUGAUCCAGCCAUACCGCGUGCGGGAAGAAGGCCUUCGGGUUGUAAACCGCUUUUGUCAGGGAAGAAAUACUUCGGGCUAAUACCCUGGGGUGAUGACGGUACCUGAAGAAUAAGCACCGGCUAACUACGUGCCAGCAGCCGCGGUAAUACGUAGGGUGCAAGCGUUAAUCGGAAUUACUGGGCGUAAAGCGUGCGCAGGCGGUUCUAUAAGACAGAUGUGAAAUCCCCGGGCUCAACCUGGGAACUGCAUUUGUGACUGUAGAGCUAGAGUACGGUAGAGGGGGAUGGAAUUCCGCGUGUAG